AUUAAUAUCAUCAAACCCACAAUCCAUGGAAGCUUGAAAUUACUAAACAUAAAAGAGGCAGCCAUGGUCAAUUGGUCAGCACUUAGAAGGGUAGCAGAAUGGCAACACCGCAGCAACCGACGAAGACUUACCCUGAUGGAAGCUUGUGAUUUGUAAGGUCUGCACGAAUACUUUCCUGUCUCUUUUAAUAGCAUUUAGCAAGCAACAACUUGAUCUAUCUUGAUUUCUUGAAAAUCGAAUUGGGGGUUGUAUCUGAUGAUGUAAGGAUCGAUGAAGAUCGUAAUUGAAGUCGUCGGCGGCUGGAGCCGCAUAAGUGAGAUGAUCUGCAAGAUUAGGAUGAUGGUUUUCGGAGACCCAAGCCGAAGAGAUCGAGAAAUAAAUCGGAGAAAGAAAUUGAAGAAAAGAAUCGGAGAAGACGAUGGAUUGAUUGCAUCACUAUUCUAGAAGAUUCUUGGAGACCGAAUAAUGAGAUAAAAAAUUGGGAAUCCGUGACGGGUAUCCGAAGAAUUAAGAGGUAGUGGUAUUAAAAUAAUACAUGUACAAUUGUAAAUAAUUAAAUAUAUGGGUAGGGACGGGUAUCCGAGACGAAUAGUAAGUUUUCGAAAUCCUACCUGUGCCCGUAAUUUUUGGGUGGCGAGUUUAUCUGAAUUCGUAAAAAUAUAUGAUCAAAUGGGUUUUGUCCAGUUAAUCAGAACGGUGGGAGCGGGGAUCAAGAUUUUCAGAUUUGAUUGCCAAGCAUAUUAGUAUGAUUCAGAUUCUAUUCUCACUAUUAUGUUUAUAAGGCCCUGAGCAUCUACCUGAUUCUGUG
rnacentral:lncRNA from 1 species